rnacentral:autocatalytically_spliced_intron from 1 species
GGAAGAAGCCCAAACCAGUUCUUUCGGGAACUGGGGUUGUAGGGUAGUGACUUCUUAACGAGAAGAGUCAAAAAAUGUAUUUGUUAGUGGAACGUGCUGGAAAGUGCGGCCCCAGAGGGUAAUAGCCCCGUACAUGAAAACAAAUACGUCUCUUUUGUCACUAUUCCUGAGUAGCGUGGGACAUGAAUAGCCUGCGUGAAUCCGGGUGGACUAACACCCAAGGCUAAAUACUCUUCAAG